UACGUAGGGGGGCAAGCGUUGUCCGGAAUUAUUGGGCGUAAAGAGCUCGUAGGCGGUGUGUCGCGUCGGCCGUGAAAACCUGGGGCUCAACUCUGGGCGUGCGGUCGAUACGGGCAUCACUUGAGUUCGGCAGGGGAGACUGGAAUUCCUGGUGUAGCGGUGAAAUGCGCAGAUAUCAGGAGGAACACCGGUGGCGAAGGCGGGGUCUCUGGGCCGAUACUGACGCUGAGGAGCGAAAGCAUGGGUAGCGAACAGG
rnacentral:rRNA from 1 species